rnacentral:ncRNA from 2 species
GACGGAGGGUGCUAGCGUUGUUCGGAAUCACUGGGCGUAAAGGGCGCGUAGGCGGCGUCGCAAGUCGGCUGUGAAAGCCCGGGGCUCAACCCCGGAGGUGCAGCCGAGACUGCGGUGCUCGAGUCCGGAAGAGGAGGGUGGAAUACCCAGUGUAGAGGUGAAAUUCGUAGAUAUUGGGUGGAACACCGGUGGCGAAAGCGGCUCUCUGGUCCGGCACUGACGCUGAGGCGCGAAAGCGUGGGGAGCAAACAGG